rnacentral:rRNA from 1 species
UCCUUGAUAAAUAAAGGGAAUGGAUGGUCAGCCACCUUAGUCCGGAAAGAAAUGGCUCUGGUUAAUACCUGGGGUCGAUGACGGUACCGGAAGAAUAAGGACCGGCUAACUACGUGCCAGCAGCCGCGGUAAUACGUAGGGUCCAAGCGUUAAUCGGAAUUACUGGGCGUAAAGCGUGCGCAGGCGGUUGUGCAAGACCGAUGUGAAAUCCCCGAGCUUAACUUGGGAAUUGCAUUGGUGACUGCACGGCUAGAGUGUGUCAGAGGGGGGUAGAAUUCCACGUGUAGCAGUGAAAUGCGUAGAGAUGUGGAGGAAUACCGAUGGCGAAGGCAGCCCCCUGGGAUAACACUGACGCUCAUGCACGAAAGCGUGGGGAGCAAACAGGAUUAGAUACCCUGGUAGUCCACGCCCUAAACGAUGUCAACUAGUUGUUGGGGAUUCAUUUCCUUAGUAACGUAACUGACGCGUGAAGUUGACCGCCUGGGGAGUACGGUCGCAAGAUCAAAACUCAAA